GCCCAAAGUCAUUUCAAUCAUUUUUAGGCUCUUGUAGUUCAAGGUAUCACAUAUUCAUGUGCAAAAUAUUGACCCACCAGUGCCCUCUUGUUUUUUUUCACAAAACUGUUCAACUUUAACUGUAACUUUAAAAUAAAAUAUCUGUGUAACAAUAUUUAAGUGUGUGGCGAGUGCAAAGAUGAUGAUGAUCAUAACGACGGCAACGACGAACUGCGAACGAGACAAGCCUUGCCCGCCAUUAUUGCUACAGAUUGAUAAAUAGUGAGAAAUUUAUUGUUUCGCCUCGAAAUGGGCUGUUUGCCAAUUGGUGCGGCCGGUCGUCAGUUUUAUUUUCGAUACCUGAAUGAAAUUCAGUAGGGCAGGUGAUAAUGGUGGGAACUAUUGAAUAAUGGAUCGUUUUUCUCCGCCGCGCUCUGGAGCUCUGAGACUUUGGUGAGCUAUGAUUUUCCAAUCCAUUUCAUUGUUUGGAUGUGAUGCAGAUUUCCAAAUGGCAGAAAUUGGUGAGACCAUAUUACACAGUAUGAUGGAGGCUGCAUAGGAUUACACUUUGUAAGGUGCCUAUUCUGAUGGGGUCAAUCCGAAUGGAAAAAAAGUCACGCUGAGGGCUUUGUUGGUAAGGUGUCUGAUUGAUAGAGGCGAUUCAAAUUGAUCGGUUUGAAAUGGUGUAAUCGAUUUGAUUUGCAUGUUGGGUGUUAUGAUUGCGCUGUGGAGUUGUUGCCCAAUGGAAAUGAAUCGUGGACUUAUCGAUUGAAAUGUUCCAUAAUAGAUUUAAGGGCCUAAUAGCCGUAGCGGCAAACGUCGUGUGAGAAUCCCGCCGGUUUC